UACAGAGGGUGCGAGCGUUGUUCGGAAUUAUUGGGCGUAAAGCGCUUGUAGGCGGCUUGUUAAGUUCCGUGUGAAAUCCCCAGGGCUUAACCUGGGAAGUGCGCGGAAAACUGGCGAGCUUGAGUGCCGGAGAGGGUCGCGGAAUUCCCGGUGUAGAGGUGAAAUUCGUAGAGUAUCGGGAGGAACACCAAUUGCGAAGGCAGCUCGCUGGAACGUAAC
rnacentral:rRNA from 1 species